AACGAACGCUGGCGGCAUGCCUAACACAUGCAAGUCGAACGAGACCUUCGGGACUAGUGGCGCAUGGGUGCGUCACGCGUCGGAACCUGCCCUUAGGCUCGGAAAAACACUUUGACAGGGGUGCUAACACCGGGUAACGUCCUCGGAUAAAAGAUUCAUCGCCCGUGGAUAGGCACGCGUUGGUUUAGCUUGUGGGGAGGGAAAAAGCCUAUCAAGGCGUCGAUACAUAGCUGGUCUCAGAGGAUGAUAAGCCACACUGGGACUGAGAGACGGUCCAGACCCCUGGGGGAGGGAGCAGUGCGGAAUCCUGGAGGAGGGGCGCAAGGGUGAUCCAGGAAUACCGGGUGGAAGACGAAGGCCUUAGGGUCGUAAAGCUGUUGAGUUGGGAAAGAUAAGAAGCAGGUUAAUCCCCGGCUGUUCUGACGGUACCCAAAGAAUAAGCCCCGGCUAACUUCGUG
rnacentral:rRNA from 1 species